GAUGUGAUGAUCCCGGUGAACCCACGAU
rnacentral:sRNA from 1 species